GACGAACGCUGGCGGCGUGCUUAACACAUGCAAGUCGAACGGAAAGGCCCGGCUUUUGUGGGUUUCUCGAGUGGCGAACGGGUGAGUAACACGUGAGUAACCUGCCCUUGACUUUGGGAUAACUUCAGGAAACUGGGGCUAAUACCGGAUAGGAGCUCCUGCUGCAUGGGGGGGGUUGGAGAGUUUCGGCGGUUGGGGAUGGACUCGCGGCUUAUCAGCUUGAUGGUGGGGUAGUGGCUUACCAAGGGUUUGACGGGUAGCCGGCCUGAGAGGGGGACCGGCCACAAUGGGACUGAGAGAGGGACCAGACUCCUACGGGAGGCAGUAGUGGGGAAUAUGGCACAAUGGGCGGAAGCCUGAUGCAGCAACGCCGCGUGCGGGAUGACGGCCUUCGGGUUGUAAACCGAUUUCGCCUGUGAUGAAGCGUGAGUGACGGUAAUGGGUAAAGAAGCACCGGCUAACUACGUG
rnacentral:rRNA from 1 species